CUUGGUGGUUGAGUGGUAAGAUGUCUGCACUAGAAAUCAGAAGUUCGUGGGUUCGAGUCCCACCCAGAAGA